AGUUACCAUCUACAAUUAGUCUCUCAUCCAAGACUUUUUCUUUGUCCCUUAUACUGGGAAAUUGCAUAUAGGAGAUUGCAUAUAGGAGAUGAACAGGGAGUUUCGCAAGGGAGUUCUCCAGGUGAAGGAGGAGCAAAUACAGGACCCUUGGGCACAAGACCGAAGUCCCAUAGCUAACUCUGAGGUAUAUAGGAACCAUCAGGAUUGGAAUGGGCCUUUAACAUAAGCCUAUCAGAGUGCAGGAGAAUUUCAUCAGUUUGUUACGUUUGAAGAUCAAGUAAAAUUAUAGUGACAUCUAGUGACCAUUAAGAUUACCAGCAGUAACAGAACAAUAUAUUGCUGCUAGAGAACAUUUUAAUCACACAGUAUUCAGAAUUCGAUUAUUAAAAUCGGUAGAGAAUGAAUUAAAAUGCUGAUGGAUGUAAUAACGUGACCAACCCUAUAAUUUAUUGAAAACAGGCUUGCAAAUUCUUAAGAAUGCAAAGAAUGAUUACAAUCAGACCUAGUUAAUGUGAAUGCAUCUAAAACAACAUGUUUAUUCAGCCUGAAAUACAGGAGAAUGUGGUUAACAGAGUUCGCUGUGGUCAGAAAAACACCAGAUCACCUGCCUGUCCCCAAUAAGAGAAAUUGGAGAAAUUUAACGUAGCAAAGAUCUGCAAUUGCCCAUUUAUUAAAUGUAUCUGUAUAAACAGCUAGAGCUGUACAAUUUCAUGUGAAGACAAAUAUCAAUGUAUUGAACAGUUUCAUGGUCUCUAUAAUGCCAGGUUGUUAAGAAUAGUGAUUGCGCUUUCAUUCCCCCCAAACUGCACGUCAGUUUGAAAUCCCAGGCAGGAGAGCACUCUGCCUGGAUCUUGGGCUGAGAAGACCUGCACUAGGACACACAUGGCAGUGACAAAGUCUGAACUUGGACUGCUUUGGACUCAUAAGACUCAGCUGUAUCCUUCUGCGUUGAGCCAAGGGUGCUCGCUGCCAUUUUAACCCCCCAAGGAAUCAGAGGGCGCUCUGGUCACUUCAGAGUGGGGAGUCUGUUAUACUUAGCCUGUGUAAUGACCUGGUCCCAGCUGGGCCAUCAGCAGAAGGGCUCAAACCUGGGCACUUCUGGUUCUUUGCAUAAGCCUCUACUGCUUGAGUUAGAAGACUUUGCUCUGUAAGCCAGUGCUGCAGCAGGCUCAUCGCUCUCAGGCCAAGCCACCGCUAGAGAGGGACAGAGCCCAACGCUGAGUGUGUGUGCGGGUUACCCUGUGAAAGAAUAGUCCCCACUGCCAGCAGUGGGCCUGCUGCCCCGGAGCUUGGCUCCGUAUGAGGGCUCAGCAUGCACCUCUUGAACCCAUUCCUGAGCCUCUUCCCAGCCCCGCAGAGCCAGUGGGUUCUGACCUGGGGGAUGGAGCAAGCACCUUGUGUUGCUCCCGAAUGACACGUUGUCGCUGACUGAAGGGAAGCUGCUGAUGAGAGCCGUGGUCAGCCUUUCCCCCUGAGCUGGAAGCUCACUGGGAAGCAGGUUCUUUCAGGGCAUGAUCCAAUGCCCAUUGAAAUCAGUGGAAAGACCCACUAAGUUCACUAGGCUUUGGAUAAGGCUCAGGGAGAGGGGAGGGAGGGAAGGGGAAAUGUGUGAGGAGAGGGCAGAGAUCUCCCCUGAAAUCAAGAAAGUUCUGCAAGGAGUAGGGUGACCAGAUGUCCCAAUUUUAUAGGGACAGUCCCGCUUUUGGGGUCUUUUUCUUAUAUAGGCUCCUAUUACCCACCACCCCCUGUCCCGAUUUUUCACACUUGCUGUCUGGUCACCCUAGCAAGGAGGAAGCAGUUCAAGGCUGUGUUGUGGGAAAUGGGUUCCCGUAGGUGUCGGACUGUCAGUACUUACAGUGAGCUUGUCUCUAGUUAGUGCUAUCAGUCCCUCACUUUCCUACAACACCCCAAAUGGGGAAAUUCCCAGCGAGAUUUAAAAAGCAGAAGAAUGCUUAGCAGACACUGCUGUCUGAUUGCCUGGGGUUUGGCUUGCUCUCCAGUAAAACACAGGGUUCUGACUCUAAGUACGACAGGAUCUAACCUGGACAGUGAAAUCUGAUAAGUGUUGCAAUCCGGACAGUUAUCUUUGUCUGUUUACAAACAUGGAGCUUCCCAGGGGAUGCCUGCCUAUGUCAGGCAACCUGUUCCCUUGACGAUAAUGUGGCUUGGACCUGAGCACAGCCACAUGGUGUGAAAGACCAUCCACAGAUGGCAAUGACAAAGAGCAAAGUAUUGAGAUGGGGGACAGGUUUUGCAGUGGGUUACCAUAGAGAUCUGUGCCUGAACUUAUUUAUCUGCACCAUCAGCAGUUUAGUGAAAUGUUUUGUUGAUAUUAAAUUAGGAUGUCGCUGAGCACAGAGAGUUAGUACAAAAGAAUCUAGAAAUAGUUGAGGCUUGGGAGGAAAAUAGGAAAAUGAGAUUUAGCUUAGAAAAAUUCACACUAAUCCUUAGGUGGAAAGCAAUAUGAGUUAUACUCCGUGAUGGGGGGGAAUGCUACAUAGCAGUAGUUACUUUUUAAUUCUUAUGUAGCAUCCAGAGGCUCCAGUCACUAUUACAGUCCUGUAACGCUUGACACGGUUCAAACAUCCAAGAAGACACAGCCCCGAAGAAUUUACAUCUACAAAAUCUACUGUAAUCCACAAAGAAAUGUAGUGGAGAGAAGGGAUGACAAAUUAGACACUAAGCUACUGUAGUAAGAUGAGGCCCUGAAACAUAAACCCUUAUCAGAGGCCUGGUAUGAGGCCUAAGGCCUGAACUAAAGUAAUGGUCAAGACUUUGCUAACAUAAAUCAAAGUUAAGCUGUGAGCCAGAGGCAGGCCCUGCUUGCAGAAGCUGGCAACAAAAGGGCUGAUGGUUCAGAAAUACAUAUACCUAAAAGGUACUGGACACUAGAGAUACAAACAUAUGCCAGGAUUAUACCAGAACACUCUGAUACUUGCACAUUACACACAGAUAACAAAGAACAGGCAAACCCAUCCUAAAGACAGGGGCAAAAGGGUACUAUGAUGGAUGGAGUUGUUUUGUUCUAACCAACAUGAACAAGGUUAGAGAGGCGGCACCUUACUGCAUGGAGGGGUUGCACCUCAAUAUGUCAGGAAUGAUGUGUAACUUGUUUGUA